rnacentral:rRNA from 1 species
CCUACGGGAGGCUGCAGUGGGGAAUAUUGGACAAUGGGGGGAACCCUGAUCCAGCCAUGCCGCGUGUGUGAAGAAGGCCCUCGGGUUGUAAAGCACUUUCAGUGAGGAAGAACGCCUGGUGGUUAAUACCCAUCAGGAAAGACAUCACUCACAGAAGAAGCACCGGCUAACUCCGUGCCAGCAGCCGCGGUAAUACGGAGGGUGCGAGCGUUAAUCGGAAUUACUGGGUGUAAAGCGCGCGUAGGUGGCUUGAUAAGCCGGUUGUGAAAGCCCCGGGCUCAACCUGGGAACGGCAUCCGGAACUGUCAAGCUAGAGUGCAGGAGAGGAAGGUAGAAUUCCCGGUGUAGCGGUGAAAUGCGUAGAGAUCGGGAGGAAUACCAGUGGCGAAGGCGGCCUUCUGGACUGACACUGACACUGAGGUGCGAAAGCGUGGGUAGCAAACAGGAUUAGAUACCCGGGUAGUC